rnacentral:rRNA from 1 species
GACGAACGCUGGCGGCGUGCUUAACACAUGCAAGUCGAACGGUAAGGCCCUUCGGGGUACACGAGUGGCGAACGGGUGAGUAACACGCGGGUGAUCUGCUCUGCACUUCGGGAUAUGCCUGGGAAACUGGGUCUAAUACCGGUUAGGACCACUGCCUGCAUGGGUGGUGGAGGAUAGCUUUUGCGGUGUGGGAUGGGCCCGCGGCCUAUGAGCUUGUUGGUGGGGUGAUGGCCUACCAAGCCGACGACGGGUAGCCGGCCUGAGAGGGUGACCGGCCACACUGGGACUGAGAUACGGCCCAGACUCCUACGGGAGGCAGCAGUGGGGAAUAUUGCACAAUGGGCGCAAGCCUGAUGCAGCGACGCCGCGUGAGGGAUGACGGCCUUCGGGUUGUAAACCUCUUUCAGCACCGACGAAGCGCAAGUGACGGUAGGUGCAGAAGAAGGACCGGCCAACUACGUGCCAGCCGCCGCGGUAA